rnacentral:rRNA from 1 species
CAAGACUUUCAGAGAUGGAUUGGUGCCUUCGGGAACUCUGAGACAGGUGCUGCAUGGCUGUCGUCAGCUCGUGUUGUGAAAUGUUGGGUUAAGUCCCGCAACGAGCGCAACCCUUAUCCUUUGUUGCCAGCGGUUAGGCCGGGAACUCAAAGGAGACUGCCAGUGAUAAACUGGAGGAAGGUGGGGAUGACGUCAAGUCAUCAUGGCCCUUACGAGUAGGGCUACACACGUGCUACAAUGGCGCAUACAAAGAGAAGCGACCUCGCGAGAGCAAGCGGACCUCAUAAAGUGCGUCGUAGUCCGGAUUGGAGUCUGCAACUCGACUCCAUGAAGUCGGAAUCGCUAGUAAUCGUAGAUCAGAAUGCUACGGUGAAUACGUUCCCGGGUCUUGUACACACCGA